UUUCCAGCCGCCGCGGUAAUACGUAGGGUGCGAGCGUUGUCCGGAAUUAUUGGGCGUAAAGAGCUUGUAGGCGGUUUGUCGCGUCUGCCGUGAAAAUUCGAGGCUCAACCUCGAACUUGCGGUGGGUACGGGCAGACUAGAGUGUGGUAGGGGAGACUGGAAUUCCUGGUGUAGCGGUGAAAUGCGCAGAUAUCAGGAGGAACACCGAUGGCGAAGGCAGGUCUCUGGGCCACUACUGACGCUGAGAAGCGAAAGCAUGGGGAGCGAACAGGAUUAGAUACCCUUGUAGUCC
rnacentral:rRNA from 1 species